rnacentral:rRNA from 1 species
CAAGCCCUGGAAACGGGGUCUAAUACUGGAUAGGACUGCCGGCCGCAUGGUCUGGUGGUGGAAAGCGUUUAGUGGUGCAGGAUGAGCCCGCGGCCUAUCAGCUUGUUGGUGGGGUGAGUGCCUACCAAGGCGACGACGGGUAGCCGGCCUGAGAGGGCGACCGGCCACACUGGGACUGAGACACGGCCCAGACUCCUACGGGAGGCAGCAGUGGGGAAUAUUGCACAAUGGGCGAAAGCCUGAUGCAGCGACGCCGCGUGAGGGAUGACGGCCUUCGGGUUGUAAACCUCUUUCAGCAGGGAAGAAGCGAAAGUGACGGUACCUGCAGAAGAAGCGCCGGCUAACUACGUGCCAGCAGCCGCGGUAAUACGUAGGGCGCAAGCGUUGUCCGGAAUUAUUGGGCGUAAAGAGCUCGUAGGCGGCUUGUCACGUCGGUUGUGAAAGCCCGGGGCUUAACCCCGGGUCUGCAGUCGAUACGGGCAGGCUAGA